AGAGUUUGAUCCUGGCUUAGGAUGAACGCUAGCGACAGGCUUAACACAUGCAAGUCGAGGGGCAGCACGGGAGUAGCAAUACUUGGUGGCGACCGGCGCACGGGUGAGUAACGCGUAUGCAACCUACCUAUCAGAGGGGAAUAACCCGGCGAAAGUCGGACUAAUACCGCAUAAAACAGGGGCACCGCAUGGUGAUAUUUGUUAAAGAAAUUCGCUGAUAGAUGGGCAUGCGUUCCAUUAGGUAGUUGGUGAGGUAACGGCUCACCAAGCCGACGAUGGAUAGGGGAACUGAGAGGUUGGUCCCCCACACUGGUACUGAGACACGGACCAGACUCCUACGGGAGGCAGCAGUGAGGAAUAUUGGUCAAUGGGCGGGAGCCUGAACCAGCCAAGUCGCGUGAAGGAAGAAGGAUCUAUGGUUCGUAAACUUCUUUUGCAGGGGAAUAAAGUGCAGGACGUGUCCUGUUUUGUAUGUACCCUGAGAAUAAGGAUCGGCUAACUCCGUGCCAGCCGCCGC
rnacentral:rRNA from 1 species